GAUGAACGCUAGCUACAGGCUUAACACAUGCAAGUCGAGGGGUAACAAGAGAAAAGCUUGCUUUUCUUGUUGACGACCGGCGCACGGGUGAGUAACGCGUAUCCAACCUGCCUAUAACUAGGGAAUAACCUUGCGAAAGUAAGACUAAUACCCUAUGAUUUCCUUUGAUGACAUCAGAUUAGGAAUAAAGAUUUAUCGGUUAUAGAUGGGGAUGCGUCUGAUAAGCUUGUUGGCGGGGUAACGGCCCACCAAGGCAACGAUCAGUAGGGGUUCUGAGAGGAAGGGCCCCCACAUUGGAACUGAGACACGGUCCAAACUCCUACGGGAGGCAGCAGUGAGGAAUAUUGGUCAAUGGGCGGAAGCCUGAACCAGCCAAGUAGCGUGCAGGAUGACGGCCCUAUGGGUUGUAAACUGCUUUUAUACAGGAAUAAAGUUAGCCACGUGUGGUUAUUUGUAGGUACUGUAUGAAUAAGGACCGGCUAAUUCCGUGCCAGCCGCCGCAGUAA
rnacentral:rRNA from 1 species